UAGGUGAACCUGCGGAAGGAUCAUUAACAAAUCCUAGCCGUUGCCCCCUGUGGGGUAAUGGUGAAACACACCGUGCACUGGCGACCGGAGAUGGGAGCAAAGUCUCCACUCGGUUGAAAGGAGGUGCGCACCCGGUGUUGAAUCAGGUGGUGCACUUAAAUCAAUGGGAAUCAUUUUCAACCGCCCGCUGGGCCUCUAACCGAGUGCUCCCAUCUUUGGUUUUUUGUUUUUGACCUUUGUCGACUUGUAUCAUGUUUUGGUAUGCUGCUGUGCAUUAAAAAGUAAUUGACAACUUCUGACGGUGGAUCUCUUGGCUCGUGCAUCGAUGAAGAACGCAGCAAGCUGCGAUACCUAGUGUGAAUUGCAGAAUUCAGUGAAUCAUCGAGUCUUUGAACGCAAAUGGCGCUCCCGGGGUCUCC
rnacentral:misc_RNA from 1 species